CCCCUUCUCCUCCCCCAACCUGCUUCUUUCCUCUCUCUACUACCGCAACGACUUUCUUGGUUUCAUUUGGUUUCUACUGCUGGCGAGGGCGGUCACGCUGCUGAGGCCAGAGUGCGCUUGUUCGGGUUGUGGUUCUACUCAUCGACCUGCGGUUUGAUGCUUGUAAUUGGAGGGGCCUGCUGGACUCGGCGCCCGUGAGAUUCGGGGAGCUUGGGUGCUGAUUUGUACUGGAAUUUCUGCGGUUUUCUCGGGAGCUACGGUGCAUUAGGGUUCUAGUGGCGGGUUUCUGUAUCUGCCAGGGGGGUUUUGGAGAUUAUCUGGAAAUGCCGGAAUUUUCUGAUCCCGGCGAGGGACUGCUCUGCAGUUCUGACCGCAAUUUGACUAAGCAUGGUAUGAGCAACUCGUGGAAGAGGGGAGACUGCUAGAGAACUACGAGGGGCUUAAGCAGGAGCAUGAUAAGAAGGUGGGGCUGCUGACGAAGCAGGAGGUCGUGAAAUAUGGCACAUAAGUCCACAUGUAAUUAGGAAUGAUUAGUUCUUAUGGGCAGGGCGAUAGGGAUUUCACGAGUCUUAUUAGAUUCUUUGUUACCAUGUGUUGUCGAAGUUAAUUGAGUAUUGGCAGCAUGGUCUAACCUCUUUGAGGUUGCUGAGUUUAGCCCUCUGGUACAACAAGGACAAGGAACUUAUAAAUGUUCAGGUUACAUAUUUUUAAGCAUCCAGCCUGUGUCGGUAGUGAAUUCAGUAUGCUUAAUAAUAAUAACUUGCCAUGUCAAAGACGUAAUAUUUGAUAAGUUUUGGUUUAACCUACAAGUAAUUGCCAACGGAAAUCUGUUGCUUCUUAUGCGCUAAACCUACUGUGACUUUCUACAAUGCAGGUUAACCAAUUAACUGAACCACAAGGAUAGAGAUAUACACUCUAUUCAACAAUUUUCUCGAGAAGUUUGAUUUGUAUUUGAUAUUUCAUGGACUUAAAUAAUCUCUAUCUGUAAACACAUUGGUUUCUUUCAUCCAGUGAACCCAGGUAAUAAGUGAAGAUGAAUAUUACAUGUGUAUAUUACUUUUUCCUCUGUCGUUAGAUUAUGUUCAGAAUAUUUCUGAUAUUUUUUUGGAAUGCUAGGACCAUCACAUAUAAAAAAGAACUUUAAAUCACAAAAAAUGUUGAUUUCUUUUAUUAAAGAUCUCGAGGGUGAGACAAUUUUCAGCAGUUUCAGAGGAAUAGCUUAAGUACCAUAUAGAGGAUGACACAAAUGGUAAUGAACACAUCAUGGAUCUUGCAUUAAUUUUCUUAUUCUAGCAGUACAAUUUGUGCAGGGAAGUCAUUCAUUUGUCAUGCCAUGGAAGUAUCGUUUGAAGUUUCCUUGGUGUCAAGACUUUUUUUUCAACAUCUAUGAGGUGGCAAGCAAAGUUAUGGUAACUGCAGUUCAUAUCAGGUAUAAUGUGAAACGUAGGUCCAUCAUCUCAUCAUCCUUUACGCCCUUUCUUUCCUUAAUAUUUUACAGCAAACCAACGGAUUAGCUAACCACAAGCUUAGUAUGUGGUAUACUGCAUAAAUAUCUAGCUUGGUAGAAAGCAUGGUCAGUAGAGUGUUUUCUAACCAUGCACUAGUAGUGCCCACUCCAUGCUACUGUUAUGUACACAGACGAGAAGUUUGUUUGAGAAAGAGUAUGCUUGCUUCCUUUCAUCUAAUAUCAUAUGUUUCUGUUUCCUAUGUGAAACUGAUGGUUCAUGUCUCUAACUUCUACUGCUUUACAGUUUUGCACAAAAGCUUUUGUAACCAUGAUGCUGAUAUACCUAUGAUUAUUACUUCAUGUGCUACUAUAUAUGUAGGGAGAUUUUUAUAAAGGUACCAGAAUUUAUCUUCUUCCACAUUAAGUCAAUAUUUAGUAACGCAGUUCUAUUUUCGUUUGCAAACCAGUUCAUUCGACACAAGGAAGAAAAUCUACUCUGGAUAGUUGAUUUAGUGUUUCUUGAACAUGGCCAGGGCAAUGGAUAAAAUCUACUCUGGAUAGUUGACAGAGGGAGUACAUGCUAAGUUGAAUUUUUUCCUGCGGAUUUGCUUAUUGUGAAGAUGCUUGCAAGGAUGCAGAGGGAGCGGAUCAUUUGGAGAGAUAGGAUGCCACUGUUUGGUGUUUUUAUGCAUUUUGGUUUGCUUGUAACUCUGUUUGCACUAGCUGGGAGUAAGUGACUUCAAGAAGUGUAGGUGUUUUAAUUGAAGGUAUGAAAAGACAUGACAAUAUGUAUGAUCUUACAUGAUGUGCUCUAAUGCCACUGGUUUAUUAUAAAUCUUGGAUUAGUAAUGAUGUGUAAUGCUGCUGGUUUAUUGCAAAUAUGUGUUUGUUUUAGUUGGAA